rnacentral:rRNA from 1 species
UACGGGGGGGGCAAGCGUUGUUCGGAAUUACUGGGCGUAAAGGGCUUGUAGGUGGCCAACUAAGUCAGACGUGAAAUCCCUCGGCUUAACCGGGGAACUGCAUUCGAUACUGCCGUGCUUGAGGACUGGAGAGGAGACUGGAAUUUACGGUGUAGCGGUGAAAUGCGUAGAUAUCGUAAGGAAGACCAGUGGCGAAGGCGGGUCUCUGGACAGUUCCUGGCGCUGAGGCACGAAGGUCAGGGGAGCAAACGGG